UCUGAAGUAGGUUCGGGUUAGAUGUUGGA
rnacentral:piRNA from 1 species